ACCAUACAUAAAUGGCGAUAUCAUUCUCCAUUGGUUUAGAUGAGCAUCACCGCUCCCAGAACAAUGAAGAAGGAGAAGAAGAUGCUGAUGGUACUGGAAUAUUUCUCUUUAUGCUGAAAAUUGAAAACCAGAGAAUCGAGAAGACAUUUUAUAAAGUUUUGGAAUACUCAUUUGAGCAAGAAAAUCUGGAUGCUCCUUGCUUUGCAGGGACGACGAGGUUUGAUGGUUAAGGUGCCUCUACCUCGGACCUUCACCAUGGCCACCAAUCAGGUGGAGGUUUUCUCAUACCUUAGAAAAUAAAAUAAAAUUUGAGGGUUUUUAAAGGAAAACACUUCAUAUAUUGGAGAACUCUUCUUUGUAUAAAUUCCGUUCCUUAAAGACAAGUUGAAGUUCUUGAUCAUAUCAUUUAUUCCUUUAAGCUGCUUCCCUUGAUCGAGCAAUCACUUCAAGCAAACUACGGGUGAAAGAGCAUUGUUAUAUCAGUUGUUUGUUCAUUUGUAACUUUAGUGCAAAGCUAAUUUAUAGAUUUUUUUUUUGGAAAA